AGGAUAGAGCCUUGAAAAAUCAUCCAUUUGCAUUACGAGCAUUAGCAAACACAAAGACCAAACAAAACCCUCGACUUUCCCCUCAAAACAAAGAAGAAGAAGAUGUCUUGCUGUGGAGGAAACUGCGGCUGCGGCCCUAACUGCAAGUGCACCGGCUGCAACGGGUACGUAAGCAAUUGAAAAAUUUCGAAAAAUAAAAAACGAUAAUAGUCCAAUUUUUACUAUAUCUCGUGUUUGAUUCUCGCAGAUGCAACAUGUACCCUGGCUUGACCGAAACCGCUGCCACCGCCACCCAGACCGUCGUCUUUGGUGUCGGCUCCAGCUCGAUGUAAGUGACCGUUUAUUUGUGUUUAGUAUGAACAAUUUUCGAGAUAACCACAUUUUAGAGGCCCCUAAAAGUAAAAGGUUGUGUGCUAGUGGGUCGACCAGCACAUGUUAUUGAACGGGGUUAGGUGCUUAGUAUAAAAUAGACUAUAUAAUAUUCUCUUAAUAUUGAUAUGUUGGUAGAGGUGUGAUCUCGUAUAUAUACUAUAUGACGAGAUCACGAAAUAUUAUUUAUUUUUCGAGUAGGGUCGAGAUGUCGUCGGAGAUGAACUUUGGUUCGGAGAAUGGCUGCAAGUGCGGAGCCAACUGCAGCUGCGUGAACUGCACCUGCAACAAUUGAGUCCCGGACACGGGCGUAUGGUGUAUUCCCUACGAAGCAGCGAUUAUUGAUAUGAUAUGUCUGUAAUAAAAUCACCUUAAAGCUUUGUACGGAUUUUACGACCGGUUUGGUAUAAUAAAAACAUAUGAAAUUUCAGCCAUAUUGUCUCUGUUAACGUAAAGGUAACUGUCCAAACAGUCCCUAAUGAGAAAGUACAGUUAGUGACUUUGACUUGAGCUAAUAGUGACCAUAUAAAGGGUUACUAGAAACGGUCACCAGAGGUUUUGCGGUAUUUUCUCAUGAACUGUCCCUAAUUUUAUUUGGCCACAAUAACUUGGUCACAAAUAAAUUAUUGGCGAUCUUACAUGGGACUGUAUUUAAAGUUCUGUACCGUUCGUUUUUGGUCACUAGUAUUUCAGUAUUUAUAGUGGCAUGAAUACUAUGUUUUUUGAAGUCUUAUACUAGUGUAGUUAGAUUGUCUAAACUAG
rnacentral:lncRNA from 1 species